UUGUCUCUCUCCAUUUCCGCCGUGGUCAUACCUAGCAUGCCUCUGGCAGGCAGGCACACACGUCCUAGCUCUUCACAGCCAUACCGGAAGUGAAAAGAGACUCCUCCCACUUCCGCCUGUGGCUGUGCACCCGUGAAACCCCAGUUCUUUUUCUCGCUACGCAGGUUACACACACGCGUUUCUAGCUCCGCGUUUUUUCGCGUUUACUUCUAUUACAAGUUUCGUUUGAGUGUUAUUAGACAUGUCUAGUCUCUAAGUUCUUAGUUCUUUGCUAAUACACUUCUGGGAAGUGUUUUUUUCGUGCGUGAGGAGGUUUGGUCGCGUCAAAUCUUACGCAGCUCCGACACGUGUGACGGGCAACAUGUCCAGGCACGCAUCCGCCCCCUCGCCCCUGGAAUCUUCGACGGAAGCUGAGCGCUUGUUGGCGUUGUGCGAGUCUCUUGUUUCCGGAGAGUAGCCAGCAAAACGAGCUACUACUAGGUGGGCGGACACCCGUGGCUCCGCAGGAGUGGAAUGACCAGCAUCCUCCCAUGCUAAUAUUGACGUGCGGUUGACCGAUCGUUUUUCGGCAGAGUUUCCCGCGGCGGUUUAAUAGGAGAGCGGCACGUCGCUCAGAGAGUCAUCGUUCACCAACAUGUCGAACCGUGUCCGCGUUUUUUCGGGUAUUCGUAGUAGUUAUCAGCGGUUUGUUUACAGCGACGUCUAGGCUUCGUCUCCUCGACCGCUUCGGCAGCAUGUUCCAACCGCCCGCGGGCCCUUCCGCCUUUUAUCAGUGUUUCAGGUGAGCUACGCUCGCACCACAUUCCUGCCUGGGCGGAGACGUUUGCAGUUCCACCGAGCCCACUUCGGCAGGGUAGCGCGGAUGUGCUGCCAACACAAUAAUGGUGCACCAUGUGACACCUUUGGGACACAACAGCAGAGAACCCAUUCCAACCAGUCUUCCUCGGAAUUUGGUCAUGGGUCACAGCAGCAUGUAUCAGGUGUCAGCGGACACGAGAAUGUAUCUGAGAUGUAGUGCGGCCUUUUCGGAGCCCGACGAUUCUCACACAGCCGGCAUGCAGACCGGGAGUGUGACUAGUAUCAGCCGUCGUUUCUUGCUCAGCUGGCAGACCGCCAUCAAGACGUACGCAGGGCCGUUUAUGAGCCAUGCUGCUGGAGACUGCAGGCCUAGGCCACAUAGAAUCAUCCUGACUGGCGCCGCAAUCGUCUACGGUUCCAGGGCGCCUUCCGCUGAGCGGACACAAGCACCGAAUGCAGCGAUGGUAGGUAAGUGUAUUCCAAGCCAUGCUGCAGGUGAGUGGAAAGUCCAAUUCAGGACUAUAGCAACGUGCCUAACCAUAGGCGUCAAGCUGAGGUAUGUUUUUGUUCACUUUCGUGGUGCGUGUUAUACUCGCCCAAAUGACUUUUUGCGGUGUUUUUUAUUACUUCAAUCCCGUCUAACAGGGUCAAAAUGACCGUAGGAGGCACCCAGUGCCUUUUGGCGAGGAUUUUUCUCACGCUGGCAGUCUCGUAGCGACGUCUCUGCCUAGUUUUUAAAGUAAUCCGUUUCAUACCGUUCAUGAAUUUUCUCAAAUUCUUGAGUUGUUGAUUCUUGGUUUACUGAGAACGUUAUAGUACGUUCAUGAUUGUGCCAGGUAGGGUUGGAAAAAUGUUUCUCCAUGGGGAGAGUUUAUGCAGUAAAGUUAUGUGGUUUUCAUUGUUUUACUGCCAGUACUUCCAGUAUGGAGCCAUGCUACGCCUCUUUAGAGGUAAAUGAGGGUUUGUUAAACCCAUUGUUUUUGCUCCGCUGUUUAUUGUUGACUGUUAUGCAAAAUUUGCUGUUACUACUUGGCUUAGAUCGCCAGGUUGCUUAGCAUUUUUAUGCAAAUGUAUUGGAAUGGAUCGUUGAGCGCACUUUCCGUAAUAUUUCUCGUUCGGGUCACUCGUCGUCACUGUCAUGUAAAAUUUUCGUGGCUACGUUAGCGUUGAUCGCCAUCGUGUUCGACUUUUCUUAAAGCUCCUUGGUUAUUCUGUUUCAAGCUGAUCAAGCAGCUUCCGCUGUUUCAGAGUUGUCUGACCAUUUUAGGUCUUCGCGGUUUUCGUUACUUGGUAUGUUACUUGAGUUUCUUUUCGCUGAUGUAUGUUUUCGAUUGUUUUCGCUCUCGCGUACCAGUUUUCGUUUUGUUUUCGGGUCUUUUAGACGCGCAUUUUCGCCGUUUUUUUUGUAGGCUAGCCAGGCGUUGACCUCGGGUGUUAGGAAGUCUCACGCUUCUUUUGAAUAUUUUACCUUUUGAAUUUUUUACCGCUACGGCGGUGGCCGCUUUGGAACGUGGUGUUAGGUCGGACUUCGCCAUCAGCUGUUUACGUGUUAAUCUUUUUACCAUUGUCAUCACAAGCCGUGUGCCUUAUGAGUGUAUGAAUGAAAGACCUUUGUGGUACAUUCUUUUCUCGACGGACUAGAUAGGCUGCCUUUCAAAUAGGCCUUGUUCAAGCAUCUCUUGUUCGUCCGUCGGGUUCCAAGUUCAAGCUUAGCUCAUCCUGACCACAUCACAUUCGUCUGCCGUCAACGCGUAUGUUACAUGUCCAUUGUAGUUCAUGCGACAAUCGCUACAUGGCGCUGUUUUUAGGUCAGACUUUGCGUGUAUUUUUAAUAUGGCGUCUCUCGCACUUGAGUGACUCGUCUUCUGACGUGCAACACAUUGUCUUUGCCGCGUUGUUUCAUCGAGCCUUUGUCUUUUUUACCCGGGUUACUUCCAUGUUUUUUUGUAUACCGUUGUAGUUUUUCUGAUGUGGGCUACGCCAGCCGUCAGUUUCGGUUUUCGUCUGUGCAGACGGGAUUUUAGCGCUUCCGAAGUAGCGCAUCCUUACUCGGCUUUCGAGUUAGCGUGUUCGUUACCUUGUACGGUACCGGUCAUCUCCGACGACUUUUACAGCAUUCGAACGUGUUUCGAUUUUGCACUCUUAGCCAUGGGCUUUCUUGUUCACCCACACAGUGGGACGAGUCUUUUUGUUACGGCAUUAACCGUUAAUGAUUGGUGCGUUCAUUUCAGGUACUCAGCCGGCCAGUUAUACUUACCGCUCUUGCUGGAAACGGUAGGCGGCUUCACAGAGUUUCGGGUCGUUCCGUAUUCACGCGUUACUUUCACAAGGAUUCCGGUGUUUUUCUUACAGGCGUGUGCUUCGAUCUUCCCGGAUCGUUUCUACAGCACGUUCCCAUAGCAACCUUUGACGGUUUGCCCAGUUCCUUGCCCACAGGUCAAGGCGGUUUAUGUGUUAUAACGUUAUUUACUUUCUUGCCAGAGAAAGUUUUAUAGGACUUCUGUCUCUGUUAUGAAGAUUUGAGUAAAAUUGAGUCGAUUUAUUCCUCCUUUUCAUCUUUUUUCUUUUUGAAUGAAUCAGGUGGUACC